UAGCACGCGAAAUAUUAUUGCGAUUAUAAUAAUAAUUAGGUAUAUUAACAGACCUUGAAACGAAAACUGUACAGAUAUAAUUCCGCAUUUUGAAAUUGCACUCCGGAGAAAUAGGAAAAACAUUUAUUCUUUUUUAAAUUUAUUCGGAUUUAACUUACAAAUUAUUGUACGUUGGCGGAAAUCCGAUUCUUUUUUUGCUUUCAAAGGAGGAGCU